UAGGCUAAGCCAGAUACUGAGCUAUGAAUUAUUCAUCCUGUUGAAUAUGCAAACAAUCUGGGGUCUGUUGAGUUAAAUGGGGAUAUGUCUGUGUCCUCCACAGCAUCAGCCAAUAACCACAUCCUUCUCAUACAGAAGCCCCUGAGAACACAGCUCCCUCAUCAUGGAUUGGAGCUGGACAAUCCUCUUCUUGGCAGUAGUAACUACAGGUGUCCACUCUGAGGUCCAGCUGGUGCAGUCUGGGGCUGAAGUGAAGAAGCCGGGGGCAUCAGUGAAGAUCUCCUGCAAGGUUUCCGGGGGCGAUUUCAGCAUCUACUACUACUCUAUCGGCUGGGUGCGGCAGGCCUCUGGGCAAGGGCUUGAGUGGAUUGGAGGAUAUAAUUUAGUUGCUGGUGAAGCAAAGUACUCACAGAAAUUCCAGGGGAGAGUCACCAUCACCAGCGACAAAUCCACGAACACAGCCUAUAUGGAGUUGAGUAGUCUGAGCUCUGAGGAUACAGCUGUGUAUUACUGUGCAAUCACACAGUGUGAUAACCACAUCCUGACUGUGUCAGAAACCCCGAAGAAGGAAGCAGCUAUGUCGGAAGGAGGCAGGAGAUUACAGGGAAAAUUUGGGUGACAAUUUUGUAAAUUUCCAGCCUUUUUUAGCUAUUGAGAGCUCUUUUAGUUUGACUCCCAUCGUUUGCCAUACAUUUACUGAGUUAUUUAUUUCCAUGACCCAGGCACUCGUUGGAAAAUAAACAAAAUUAUCAACUAGAUAGCAGUGCUUACGUGUAGGUACUUUUGCCUUUAAUUUUACAGAUUGCCUCCAUUUCCAAAGUUACUUAGGUUAGCACAUU